UCAAAUCCAAAUCUCCCCCCACACUUAAAGCACACAUUGCCCUCAAUGUGACAAUUAAACAGUAAAAGUAAGAAGAAGGGCAACGAAACUCCCCUGAAGUUGUCAAAACAGCGGCGGGUUAGGCGGAAGUUGAGGUUCAAAACCCACGUGGUGCAUAAACGCCGCUAAAUUCUGUGCCAUGCUAUGCACAUUAACAUCAAUAUUUGUUACCUGAGCCUCCAGUUUUUGAACUCGCAUCUGGAGUUGGUGCCAGUCAUCAGCCCUUGGGGUUGGAGGAGGUGGAGCGGAGGUCGAAGGGCCGGGGUGUUCUAGACUUAGAAGAAGAUUUGGGUUUCACCAUUUCUCCAAAUGUCACUCAAAUCAACAACAGACAACAAUUCUCAACAAAAUUUAGAACCAACAAAUUCAAAGCAAUAACAAUUGUAAUAAUCACUGUGGCCUCUCUAUUAGUCAAUUUGAGACCCAAUUAAUGCCCGAAAACAAUCCCAAACAAUGCAACAAUUAAAUUUAACGGGCAAAGGACAUCCAACUAAUUUCACUCGAACAAACUAUGAGCAGUGUUAAUGUCUAAAUGAAUCAUCAAAUUUCAGCAAUUAGACACAAUACCACUCAAAAUCUCAAUAACUGUCUCCAAUUGGACAGUUAAUUACACACUCAACCAACCCCAAUAACCAUUCAAAUCAACAAACAAAUGCAGGAAGGAGCUACCCACAAAUAAGAAACAACUCAAAUGACCAACCCAAAGCGCUGAUAAAUCAAAACACACCAAUCAAGACCACAAAAUAACAGAAAUUAAAAUGGGACCCAAGUAACAAGUAACUCUCAAAUCAACCCCAACAAUUCUCAAACAAAUGAACUGGCACAAGAGACGUCAAAUUUAAUCCCCACAGAUGAAAUAAAAACCUCAAGUAGUCCAAACACUAUUCAGAAGACCCAAAAUUAACCCCAGAAAAUCCCCAAGUCACCUCCUGCCUUUAUCAAUCAGAAGACCCAAGAGAAAAAAAAUGCAAAUUCAGCAAUUUAAGAUCCUGGACAGUACUAAUCGAUGGAGAAAUAGCAAUACCUUCACCUGUCAAAAAUUGGCAGGUAGUGUUUGCUGGCUAUCUGUGUAGGUGGAGUGUGGUAGUCGCGCAAGGAGAGGGAGAAGAGACGGUGCAGCAGCGACAAGAGGUGGUGAAGCUUGCGCGAGGGAGGCGGCAGCUUCAGUUGCGGUUGGUGUGGUGCGCGCAGGUGGAGGCGCUCUAGCUAGCGCGAGCUAGCUCAAGCUGGCGGACGGUGGAGCUGAGCUGGUUGUGGGUAGUGACGGCGGCAGUAGGUGAGGCGAGCUAGGUGGGGAGGAGCGAGACCGAGGGUGGAGGUGCAGUGGCUGCGCGAGCUCACAGUCGUGGGCAAGAGCUUGUAUUUGCGAGCUAGUGGCUCGCGAUGGAGGAAGCAGCAGGCAGCGGCGGCUGCAUGCAGAGGUGGAUGCGUUGGUCUCCGGCUGUGCAGUGGUCAAAGGUUGAGCUUACGAUGGUGGUGGGAGCGAGGCGGAGAGAGACGGCAGCUCGCGGUUGGUCGAGAGAGAGAGACGGCCAGGAGAGAGGUAGAUAGCAAGCAGGAGCGGCGUGGGCUGCUGGUAGCGCGGGAGCUCAGGAUGAGCUGCGGCGAGCUGGGGUGGGCGGCGAUGGCAGUCGGGAGAGGAGCUUGUGACUCGCGCAGGUGGAUAUCGCGCAAGGAGGAGAGAGCAAGGCGGAGUGUGCUAGGAAGAAGAAGAAGCGGGCAGCGGGGAAGAAGAAAGGAAAGAAAGAAAAG
rnacentral:lncRNA from 1 species